rnacentral:rRNA from 1 species
GUGGGGAAUAUUGGACAAUGGGCGCAAGCCUGAUCCAGCCAUGCCGCGUGUGUGAUGAAGGCCUUAGGGUUGUAAAGCACUUUCACCGGAGAAGAUAAUGACGGUAUCCGGAGAAGAAGCCCCGGCUAACUUCGUGCCAGCAGCCGCGGUAAUACGAAGGGGGCUAGCGUUGUUCGGAAUUACUGGGCGUAAAGCGCACGUAGGCGGAUCGAUCAGUCAGGGGUGAAAUCCCGCAGCUCAACUGCGGAACUGCCUUUGAUACUGUCGGUCUAGAGUAUGGAAGAGGUGAGUGGAAUUCCGAGUGUAGAGGUGAAAUUCGUAGAUAUUCGGAGGAACACCAGUGGCGAAGGCGGCUCACUGGUCCAUUACUGACGCUGAGGUGCGAAAGCGUGGGGAGCAAACAGGAUUAGAUACCCUUGUAGUCC